GUAUCUCUAAUCUCAAACAUAAUUUUGUAUACUAUGUUUGAUUUUCUUUCAACAAGCCAGAAACAAAAUUAAGUACUGUGAUUAUGAUACUGAGCAUAGACUCUGCGUUCUUCGUAGGAGCGCUUACUGUGAAAGAUAACUGAUUUUCCUGAACUGCAACAGCUUUCUCCUCAAAACUCUUCAGUAAUUGAAUAUUAAAAGGAAAUAGAUUAAUUAGCUUCUGAAUAAGUAUUCCUCAGCUGCUUCAGGAACCCGACUGUAUGAUUCUGGAAACUGGCAUUCUGUACUAAUCUGCAAGAGCAAAGUAAUGCUGCAAGGAGUAACUGGCACUCAUCUGUUGUGGAACUGUGUGAUAUUGGUGUUGUUUCAUAGCAUCGGUUCAAGUUUUGCAUCACCAACUCAGCAUGUUUUAGAAAAAAGUGAGGUGGCGCCCGGCAAACUUAAAGUGAAACUGAAAGAUACGUUAGAAGCUCUUGUAAACUUCUUCGCUCCAGUGAGUAAGUGUCA